rnacentral:lncRNA from 1 species
GACUUUCUCUUGCAAUAUAUAUUUGGUUGAUUUAUAAGCAUUUAAACUUUCGCCUAUUACCAGCUGAUUUUAAAAGUGAGUUCUGUAUAAUGUAGUUUUCAUAAUUGUGUUUGUAAACUUACAUCUAGGCCUUUUUACAAGUGACAGGGAUCACAGGGAGCAAAACCAUUUUCCUUAGACAUGCAUAUCCAUUUCAUAUUAAUUAUAUGUCGCCUGCAUUGCCAUUGGAUAAAAAAAUAUCCGAACCCUGUAGGCUCCUUUAGAAUUAAAAGCGAUGACAUGUAAUGAAAUCUAACACAAAAUAAGGAACCAUAAAAAAUAUAAUCACAUACCAAUUAUAAGAAAAGAGGAAAAAUACUCAACUUACUGAUGUUAAACGGUGUAACAGAUCAAUGCCAGUAACUUCCUUUCG